CGAUGAGCGCCAGCAGCGCCAGGGAGACGCAGAGGCAGCGCCGGCGCUGAGAUCCGGCCAUGGCUCGGGCUCCGGUUGCGGCUCGGUCGGGUUCCGGCGUGCUGGGAGAUCCACUCCACCGAUGGUCACCUGAAAGGCCUUCCAGAGGUGUGGGCAGUGUGAGAUAGGAUGAGGCGGUCUACCUCACCACUGUAUCAUCAAGACGAACACGACGUAGGAGCCACGUUUCUCCGGGGGAGUGUUCAGACCUUUCUGUAAGCCAGCGUCUUCUCUACGCUGGGAAUAUGUAACAACAGCGUGGUCUCUACACGCCGUCUACAUUCCUGCUUACAUAUUCACUACUCAUUUAUACCGGAGAAAGCAUUUCAUAGAAUGUGCUGAGGUUGUGCCUAAUUCUGCAUUGGCACAGUGCCACUCACACUUAAACAAUUUCUUCCAUCUACAGAAUAUAGAGCAAAAUAAUGUGAAAACUGUCUCACGUUUCUUGUAUUAUUAUGACCACAAUUUUCUAAAGGAACCAACUAAAAAAAAAAGACUAAAGUCUAAACUAAGUGGCUAUUAAAUAAGUGUCACACGGGAGCCUUCAGGAAGUCCAGCAUCUCUUUAGCACACAGACACAGGACUUCCUGUAUCAAAAGGGUCAAAUUUUGUUUCCUUUCUCCUCAUUAACGCACUCAAAUUUGAUGUGUUAACAUGCACAUUUUGUACAUGUUAAUGCAUAAUAAGGUGACGCCAUAAGCCUGUUUUCCCACUGACACUAGCUAGUAUGCCCCCUUCAGGCCCGGACCCAGCAUUAUUCAAAUCCCUUGCGCCUCCCCCCCCCUCCCCUUAUCCCAGCUAUGCUAUAAAGCAUAUAGUUGAUUCAUUUUAUCAGAAAAAUGAGUCAUAUAAUGUAUACAAUGUGGAAAAGGUGUCAGAAUAUCAAGUCGAUUGCAUUUUAAAUUUUUUUUUUGCUGAACAGGAGCGGUAUUACAUAACUGAAAAUAAACCGUCUAUGAUCACAUUAUUAGUAGGACACCCUGGACAGGAUGCCAGUCCAUCACAGAACAUACACGGCACGUUGUGGGAAAUUUUGGGACACCAGGUCACCUAAAUGCUCAUUUCUGGGUAGCAGGAGGAACCAGGAGAAAACUGAUGGAGGCAGAACUGUGGUCUGAAUCAAGCAAAUUGCCCUGGGGCCAUGAAGCUUCAGUACCACCACAUCAUCAUCCCACAUAAAUGAUGCAAAUUAAUGGGAUAUUAAUGAAUAAUCGUUCAUGAGUCAACAGACACAAGGAGGUGGAGGCAGCCGAUGGAUUAUAGGCUGUUGACAGAUGAUGCUGAAAGUGCUCAGGGGGUUAUAGGUGCUGUGAAUUCUGGACGAACUUGGCAGGAUGUGCAGCUCAUCUCCAAGCAGCUGAGUGGACCAGGAAAUGAGCAAAGACGCAGCCCAGCACGAUGAGCGGAGCCUGGCAGGUCGGCGGCUCAGAAUGGGGGGUGAUUCACAGCUCGGCGAGGAAGAAGAAGUGGAAAGACCGGUGGGAGAUGAGGGAAAGAGCGAAAGCGACUCUCCUGAUUGCAGACCGGCAGUUCCAGGGGCAGCAGUAAUGCUGCAGGGGGCAAAAGCAGAAGCUGCUUGGAGCUGCUGUCGCGUCACCGGAAGAAGCUGCCGCUGCUGUUACAUGUGUGAUGGGUGCCGCGGCACCGCUCUGGAAGGAUCACCGUCUGCACCCAAGAGAGCUCGACAUCCUGCUUCAUCUGCAGACGGGCCUGGAGCCAGAUAUGCAGAUUAUUUAUAUAGCAAAGGAAUGUGCUAUGAUCACCACUUUGAUUUUGGCAUGAUUUUUAAUAGCUGAACACAGCUGCCAAUAGUUAUGUACAGGGGAGCAGUAGGGGCAUGAACACCCAGAAGAUUCAGGGGGCUGACACUUGACAGGGGCCCUUGAAUACAUAAAUUUUAUGGAAAAAGUGGGCAGGUGGACAAGGUGCCAACAUUUACUGUUUUUAAAGAGGACCCUUCUGUGUCAUAAUGGCAAACUUUAAGAAUGACGGAGGAGAGGAGAGAUACUUGUUAUGGUACUCCAGAAUGACUGGGCCUUCAACCCCGGAUUUUCCUCCUUAGGGCCCUUUGUUAAGCCCAGGCACAGUGUGUGGCUCAGUGGGUCAGAACGCCACGCCCGUGAACGAGAGGCUGCUGGUUCAUAUCCCAUGGUUGGUAGAGUGAUGUCACUGUUGGGCCCUUGACCCUCAGUCAAGCACCUUCAGCUAAGCAGUGCAGGUGGUGGCCUGGAACAGAAAAGAGCUGGAUUACUGAGAACUGGGAUUGAAUCCACUGUGUUAUGGGACGUUACCAUCAGGGAAACAGUGCUUUCUUCCAGGCAUUUACAUCGAAUGUAUUUUAUAGACGCCUUUGUCCAAACCAACUCACAAUAUACUCAAAAUGCUGUUUCUGAAAGGUCCAAAAAAGUCAGCAGUCAGAUCAAAAUGCAUCUGUGGUGAUAUUUCAUAUUCAAAGGUUAUAUUUUGGUUUGUGUUCUACUGAACAGAAACCGAGAGAGAGCUUUGUUGGACAACAAUAAUAAUUAUCAAUUAUUUGUUCUUGUUGUUCAUAUAACAAGCAUAUGUCUGCAAGGCCCUCAAGUUUCAUCAAAUGUUUGGAGUGAGAUUACAUUAGGGGCGAAACGUGUGUCUCACGGUCAAUGUGUGAGACUUGACGGCCCUGCCUACCGCGUUCAUUGGAUCUUGCUCUUACAUUUUCAUCUUUUGUGCACUCCAUCUGUGUGCACAUCCAUACAAUAAUGUGCUUGCAGCGGGAUCGCACAUAACUUAUUUUGGAAUUUAAUAACAAUUGCUAUUUUCCAACUGGUUGGUAUAGGUGGCUAUUAACUCUGUAUAAUUCGAGACAGUUAUAUAUAAAGCGUAAAACUCCACUCUGUAUGCCUGCGCAUCGUUCAUCAAUUCUGCAUAACGGGAUACCUUGGUGGUCAUUACUCUGUGCUUCUCAGUGUGAGAAAUACAAAGUCUAGCAUGAGAGCAUGUGAACUGAUUGAAAUGCGCAUAUCUCACAGUCUGUGCUUGAGACUUGAGAGCCAUGCAUCUGUAUGCAUCACUGACUGA